CAUAAGCAGCUAAGCAGGGAAGAUAGGGGAAAGGAGGAGAGGAGGAAAAGUGCGACCGCCUUCGCUGAGAGCUUUAUAUUUACAAAUAUAAAGAAAUAUAAAGAAAAAGAAAUGCUCCACUCAGCACAGCAGAGGUUUUCUGGGUUUGUGUUUCUUUGUUGCUUCUGAAAAGUUUCUUCCGUUCUGAAAGCAGGAAGAAGGCCGGCCAAACGUGACAUCAGUGUCAGGACAGGAUAUCAUUGUAUCUGCCAGAGUUAGCAGUGCACAACAUAUAGAGUACAGUUUAAACUCCUGCUCAGUGUCUCAGUCCUCUCAAGAUGUCCUCAGAUAUUUAUGCCAAACCAGAUCUAUCAAAGAAGGUGAGAUACAGCAGAAAGGAGCAGGAGGAUGGAGCAGAGUGGGAGCAGAGGGAGGUGGAUAUCUACGACAGUGCAGACUUUGAUCACACUGGAAUUCAAUCACGAGGAGGAGGUCCAAAGACUAAGAGUCCUCCUCCAGUCCAGAAGGGCUCUUUCAGAUGUGCUACACUGGGUCUAGGAGUGCUGUGCCUCCUGAUGUUAGCUGGGAUCAUCAUCCUCUCUAUACGCUUCACUUCGAUAAAACAGCAGCUGCAGAACCAAAACAACAACUGUUCAGGGAAGUGUCCUGAUCGAUGGAGGAGAUUUGGAAGCAGCUGUUACUUUAAAUCCACUGAGAGGAAAACUUGGUCUGACAGCAGGAGAGACUGUCAGGAUAAAGGAGCUGAUCUGGUGAUGAUAAACAGCAAAGAGGAACAGACAGAUUCACACGAUGAUGUUACGACAACAGAAGUGCUGAAUUAUGACUGGAGACAAUAUUUGUGUCUCUUCUCAAACAGGAAUUUAUCAAUGAACUGAACAUGAGAGGAGAGUCCUGGAUUGGUCUGGAACGCUAUUCUCAGAAACAUGAAUGGAAAUGGGUGGAUGGAUCACUGCUGACAGAAACGUUCUGGGCACCUGGACAGCAGAAUGACAGUUUCGCUUACUAUGGAGCUUGUUGUGACAGUGAUGGGAGAUGGACACAGUCAUAUGAUCCUGAAUCAAAAACCUUCAUCUGUGAGAAAUGAGUUUGGUGCUUUGAUGUAAAUGUUUGAAUAAUCCAACCAAAGACACCUCACUAUGAAAUGUCCUGCAUGAGCCUCAGACUCAGCUCACAGUUGUUACUUGUUCCUUCUGCAUCAUAUAUUGAUUACAUAUAUUGUCCCUCUGUGCUCUGUGCUGUACAGUAAGGUUGGAAGUCAUCCACACAAAACCUUGAAGUACUUCAUUACUCUGUAGUUCCAGCAAAUUGUUCUAAUAAAAGUCAAAGUGCA